UAGAAGUACAGUUGCAUCUUUUCUAAUCCGGAUGUAAAACAGUGAUCUUGGCUAUAUUGUUACUGCCUCCUUUAUAUAAGUCCACAAUUUUUCCUUAAUUUUGCUGCAUCUCAACAGAUGCAAGUCAGUUUUGUUAGACUUGCUUUUCGCCUUGUAUACACACUGAGUGUAUAAUGCGUACAGCCACACUUAGUAAGAGGUAUAAUUCUGCCAACCUGAGCUGCUGCGUAGAAUACUUCCUAAGUUUUUUAUUGUGAGUGUUUCUCAGAAUAGCAUUGAAAAUAGUACUUUCAGGAAAAUAUAAGUGAAAAUAUAUUUGACCUCAAAAUGAGGAAAUCUUUUCUAAGCAUAUGACUAAAAGCAAAAAAAUUGGUGAUUUAAAUUGCAAUUUAUAUGUGUGAAAGACACAAGAUGAAAAGUAGAUGACAAAGUGGAAAAAUAUUUGUAAUGAGUA
rnacentral:lncRNA from 1 species